rnacentral:lncRNA from 1 species
AUCCUGGACGAAGCAGAUGUUCACAGCGGGUGGAGCUGCACUCUCCUGGGAGAAGUCUGGUCCAGAACUGACAGGUCUUUGAUGGAGGGACGUCUGCCUCUCCAGGCAGCGCUGUCACGGCUGCCUCACUGUGGCUGGUACCGAAGAAAUUAAGAAAGUCCGUGUAGGCCAGGGGGCGUGAUUAGGGAGAUGGGGGAUAAGGUCAGCAUCCAAGUCUUUGGGUAUUUCCCCAAGAAAUUUCUUGCUCGAUGUUUUAACUCUAAAACGACCUUCCAAGAUUUGUGCUUCGUAAGAUCCAGCUGGAGAAUUAUAGUUUAUUGAGGAAUGGCCUAAUUUGUAUCGGAACUGUUUGUUAAUCGAGAGAAUUACCAGUGGUCUGUGACCAAAACCUACAAUGAUGGUUUAUUUGUAGCAGUGUCUUUCUAGGGGGAGGAUUACCCAGGAGCAUGGGGUAGAGCUGCAGGAGCUUUUCUCAAUGCUGCACUGGGUGAUGCCAGGGUAUGUGAGGCCGCAGGGCGUCCUCUCCUUUUGAUUGCUUCAAGCAUUUGUGGAGUCCUUACUUUGUUCACCUACUGGCUCAUCUCCCUUUUCCUAGUCUGGAUCCUGUGGGUGUGUAUUUGGAAGGAGCUAGGAAGACUCUGGAGUUACCUCAAUUUGACUAACCUUAACUACCUUUUAUUAAAAAAGAAAAAAUCUUGAAUGCCUGCUGGGGUUGAUGAGAUUUCCUUGCUCCAGCUCCUCCCCGGUUUAAAGGGACACAUUCAAAAUGACUUUUAUGUAAAUUUACUUUCUCUUUUAAAACAGGACUGCUUUGCUAGUGGUGACCAUGAACAGUGUUGAGGGUCUUGGUGCUGAAGGAAAGCGCAGGGAGAGUCCGGGUUCGCUCAGCCCUGGGUCCACACAGCUGAGGGCGGGAGGGCGGAAGCCUCUCUGCCCUCUCUCCAGAACCUGUUGCGAGAUCACCUCAAGUCGGAGUGAGGUGACUCCUCUCAUUUCCACUGAGCACAGCCAUAGGGAAGUCUGGAGGAUGGGACUCCGGGCACAUCAGAAAGGGACGCUGGAAACGACCCCCCAUUCCCUUUGGAGGAGGAGAGCUGCCGGAAGCAGUGAGGGCGCUGUCUCGACUCACCAUCUCUGGUCAUCUGCUGCCACCUAGUGGCCAUUCUGAGACGCUCCUACCAGUACCGUAUAAGCAUCACAAGAGGAGAGAACCUAAGACCCAAACCCAAGAGGGUCGAUCCUUGUGCAGCCGGUUACAUUUUAUUUUCUUCCUUUUAGUCCUGUUUGAUUGAGGUGUGUGGGGGGGCUGCACUUGGGAUUGAACCUGGGGCUUUUGCAUCAAGCUACUUCAACUUUAAACACGUUUAAAAAUUUUUUUUGAGGCAGGGUUUUAUUGAAUUUUUAAAUACUAUUUGAUUUUUUUCAUAUACAUAUAAUACCUGUAUAUCUUCAGUUUUUAAGUUUAAAAAAUCUUGUUAAAAAUAUAACCAGAGGAA